rnacentral:tRNA from 1 species
GCUCACCUAGCUCAGUUGGUAGAGCACUUCCUUGGUAAGGAAGAGGUCGGUGGUUCAAAUCCGCUGGUGAGCUCCA